GAUGAGCGCUAGCGGCAGGCUUAAUACAUGCAAGUCGAGGGACAGCACAGGUAGCAAUACUGGGUGGUAACCGGCAAACGGGUGCGGAACACGUACACAACCUUCCUUUAAGUGGGGGAUAGCCCAGAGAAAUUUGGAUUAAUACCCCGUAAUAUAGUUGAAUGGCAUCAUUUGAUUAUUAUAGCUACGGCGCUUAAUGAUGGGUGUGCGGCUGAUUAGAUAGUUGGCGGGAUAACGGCCCACCAAGUCUACGAUCAGUAGCUGAUGUGAGAGCAUGAUCAGCCACACGGGCACUGAGACACGGGCCCGACUCCUACGGGAGGCAGCAGUAAGGAAUAUUGGUCAAUGGACGCAAGUCUGAACCAGCCAUGCCGCGUGAAGGAUUAAGGUCCUCUGAUUGUAAACUUCUUUUAUUUGGGACGAAAAAGGGCCUUUCUAGGUCAACUGACGGUACCAGAUGAAUAAGCACCGGCUAACUCCGUGCCAGCAGCCGCAGUAAGAC
rnacentral:rRNA from 1 species